rnacentral:rRNA from 1 species
AGCAGCCGCGGUAAUUCCAGCUCCAAUAGCGUAUAUUAAAGUUGUUGCAGUUAAAAAGCUCGUAGUUGAAUUUCGGGAUUAAUAUGUUGGUCGUGCCUUGGUACGUACUGGCAUUAUUGAUUCCUACCUUCUGAAGAACCUCGAUGUCAUUAAUUUGGUGUCUUGGGGAAUCAGGACCGUUACUUUGAAAAAAUUAGAGUGUUUAAAGCAGGCUCGCGCUUGAAUACAUUAGCAUGGAAUAAUGAAAUAGGACGUUUGAUCCUAUUUUGUUGGUUUCUAGGAUCGACGUAAUGAUUAAUAGGGAUAGUUGGGGGCAUUAGUAUUCAAUUGUCAGAGGUGAAAUUCUUGGAUUUAUUGAAGACUAACUACUGCGAAAGCAUUUGCCAAGGAUGUUUUCAUUAAUCAAGAACGAAAGUUAGGGGAUCGAAGACGAUCAGAUACCGUCGUAGUCUUAACCAUAAACUAUGCCGACUAGGGAUCGGAUGAUGUUAAUUUUUUAAUGACUCAUUCGGCGCCUUACG